GACGAACGCUGGCGGCGUGCCUAAUACAUGCAAGUUGAGCGCUGAAGGUUGGUACUUGUACCAACUGGAUGAGCAGCGAACGGGUGAGUAACGCGUGGGGAAUCUGCCUUUGAGCGGGGGACAACAUUUGGAAACGAAUGCUAAUACCGCAUAAAAACUUUAAACACAAGUUUUAAGUUUGAAAGAUGCAAUUGCAUCACUCAAAGAUGAUCCCGCGUUGUAUUAGCUAGUUGGUGAGGUAAAGGCUCACCAAGGCGAUGAUACAUAGCCGACCUGAGAGGGUGAUCGGCCACAUUGGGACUGAGACACGGCCCAAACUCCUACGGGAGGCAGCAGUAGGGAAUCUUCGGCAAUGGACGAAAGUCUGACCGAGCAACGCCGCGGGAGUGAAGAAGGUUGUCGGAUCGUAAAACUCUGUUGGUAGAGAAGAGCGUUGGUGAGAGUGGAAAGCUCAUCAAGUGACGGUAACUACCCAGAAAGGGACGGCUAACUACGUG
rnacentral:rRNA from 1 species